rnacentral:rRNA from 1 species
CAGUCGCCGCGGGAAUACAGAGGGUGCAAGCGUUAAUCGGAAUUACUGGGCGUAAAGCGCGCGUAGGUGGUUUGUUAAGUUGGAUGUGUAAUCCCCGGGCUCAACCUGGGAACUGCAUCCAAAACUGGCAAGCUAGAGUAUGGUAGAGGGUGGUGGAAUUUCCUGUGUAGCGGUGAAAUGCGUAGAUAUAGGAAGGAACACCAGUGGCGAAGGCGACCACCUGGACUGAUACUGACACUGAGGUGCGAAAGCGUGGGGAGCAAACAGGAUUAGAUACCCGAGUAGUCCCUGUCUCUUAUAC